rnacentral:rRNA from 1 species
GCGUGGGAACCUACCUUUCGGUACGGAACAACAGUUGGAAACGACUGCUAAUACCGUAUACGUCCUUCGGGAGAAAGAUUUAUCGCCGAUAGAGGGGCCCGCGUUGGAUUAGCUUGUUGGUGAGGUAAUGGCUCACCAAGGCGACGAUCCGUAGCUGGUCUGAGAGGAUGAUCAGCCACACUGGGACUUAGACACGGCCCAGACUCCUACGGGAGGCAGCAGUGGGGAAUAUUGGACAAUGGGCGCAAGCCUGAUCCAGCCAUGCCGCGUGAGUGAUGACGGCCCUAGGGUUGUAAAGCUCUUUCAGUGGUGAAGAUAAUGACGGUAACCACAGAAGAAGCCCCGGCUAACUCCGUGCCAGCAGCCGCGGUAAUACGGAGGGGGCAAGCGUUGUUCGGAAUUACUGGGCGUAAAGCGCGCGUAGGCGGGUCUUUAAGUCAGAGGUGAAAUCCUGGAGCUCAACUCCAGAACUGCCUUUGAUACUGGAGAUCUUGAGUCCGGAAGAGGUUAGUGGAAUUCCCAGUGUAGAGGUGAAAUUCGUAGAUAUUGGGAAGAACACCAGUGGCGAAGGCGGCUAACUGGUCCGGUACUGACGCUGAGGUGCGAAAG